UUUCGCGUCUUGUUUAUGUGUCAUGUCAAGUUCGAAGGUUUCAUAUUAAAAACGAAAGUAGAGUCGGUCACAACGUGUUAUGGGCCGGGGAAACGUUCAGUCUGCCUGGGUUAUAUAUAGGUAGAUUCAUUGGUUUCGGAUCAGAAAUUAUCAAUGUUCAUGGAUUCUCAGAACACAGCAGAGAGAAGUUUAUGUUAUGAACAUUUCUUAUCAACAAACCCUGUAAGAAGAAG